GCCUCUGGACGAGUUUGCCACGUCGGACGUCCGCGACGGUGUGCGCCGGUACCGCAACAGACGCAUAAUGCGACUCUUUUUGGACCGAGGCUCGGGCGCCGCGCCUUCGUGGCCAUCGUCGCCAUUGUGUGGGUCGUCGGCGCGUGAGCGCUUGCCGGUGCGCCUUUGCGGUGGCAGAGCGCCGGUGCUGGUCAUCAAAGUCGUCUCAAGCGGCGGCGCCGUUUUCGACUCGCGCAAAUUGCGUCGCCCCGAUGCGCGCAUGAUCUAGUGGGAUCGCCCUCCCGGUGUGGCCGACGGCAGCGACGCAAGAUUGCCGGCGAGCGCGCCGUUGUCUCGAUGUCGCACACAAUGCGCGCGCGCGUUUAUCCCUUGGUGGAGUGCCUGCGACGACGGUCGCAGCACAAAACCGUCCUCCCUCGCCGCCAAAAAAAAGGACAGUUGGCCCCAAAAAAAGAAAAAGACAAAAGUCGUUGGCAG
rnacentral:lncRNA from 1 species